rnacentral:piRNA from 1 species
UACAAACAAAAGUCAGGUGUGA